rnacentral:rRNA from 1 species
CCUACGGGAGGCUGCAGUGGGGGAUAUUGGACAAUGGGGGGAAUCCUGAUCCAGCGACGCCGCGUGAGUGAAGAAGUAUUUCGGUAUGGAAAGCUCUUUCAGCCGGGGAGAAAGAAAUGACGGUACCUGACGAAGAAGCCCCGGCUAACUACUUACCAGCAGCCGCGGUAAUACGUCGGGGGCAAGCAUUAUCCGGAAUUACUGGGUGUAAAGGGAGCGUAGACGGUUAAGUAAGUCUGGAGGGAAAGGCCGGGGCCCAACCCCGGGACUGCCCUGGAAACUAGUGAACUUGAGUGCAGGAGAGGUAAGCGGAAGUCCUAGUGUAGCGGUGAAAUGCGUAGAUAUUAGGAGGAACACCAGUGGCGAAGGCGGCUUACUGGACUGUAACUGACGUUGAGGCUCGAAAGCGUGGGGAGCAAACAGGAUUAGAUACCCUGGUAGUC